CCCCGGAGUGGGGACAGCGCCCCGGACUCGGCGCUCAUCGGGCACAGCAGUGGGGCUCGGUCGCACGGCCCCGCGGGGCUUGUUUCUUACAGCGUUGGCUCAGAGCGCUGGGCACCGGAGGAAGCUCACCCUCCGCCUGCCCCCGGGGCGGUGCUUCGGUGCCUCCGCCCCUCACCGGCUACCCAGUCCCGCGGCAGCGGCUCGCACCGGAGCCGCGGCCUGGCCUUGCUUCGCCACGCCCGCUUCCCGCCCUCUGCGCCGGCCACCGCGGGGUUCGCGGUUCCCGCGGCUCCCGCUGCCCCGCGAUGCCGUCCAACAAAUCCGUCUCGGACGCGCCCAUUGUCCAGUUCACCAACUGCCGCAUCCUGAGGGACCACCAGCUCCAGAGGGAGGACCUGUGGGUACGAGAGGGGAAGAUCCUCAACCCAGAGAAACUCUUCUUUGAUGAGAAAGGCUCUGCUGAUGUCCAGCUGGACUGCAAGGACAGCAUCAUCGCCCCAGGUUUCAUCGAUGUCCAGAUCAAUGGAGGCUUUGGGGUGGACUUCUCUCUGGCAACAGAUGACUUCAAAUCAGGUAUUGACCUGGUCAGCCAGAAAAUCCUUUCCCAUGGAGUGACCUCUUUCUGUCCCACCCUGGUGACCUCUCCUCCAUCUGUGUACCACCAGGUUCUCCCUCAGAUCAGUGUAAGAAACGGUGGAGGCCAUGGAGCAGGAAUCCUGGGAGCCCACCUGGAAGGGCCAUUCAUCAGCAAGGAGAAGAAGGGUGCCCACCCAGAGCACUGCCUCCGCACCUUUGAGGCAGGUGCCUUCCAGGACCUGCUUGCUACCUACGGCUCCCUGGACUGUGUCCAGAUAGUGACCCUGGCCCCUGAAAUGAAGAGGAGCAGUGAGGUGAUCCGGGAGCUCACCAAGAGGGGUAUCUGCGUCUCCCUGGGUCACUCAGUGGCUAAUCUGUCCCAGGCCGAGGAGGCUGUGCAGCACGGAGCAACCUUCAUCACUCACCUCUUCAAUGCCAUGCUGCCGUUCCACCACCGUGACCCUGGAAUUGUGGGGCUGCUGACAAGUGACAAGAUUCCUGCUGGGCGGAGGGUCUUCUAUGGCAUGAUUUCUGAUGGCAUCCACACCAACCCCGCUGCCCUGCGCAUCGCUCACCGAGCCCACCCCAAAGGGCUGGUGCUGGUGACAGAUGCGAUGGCUGGCAUGGGGCUGGCACCAGGUCGGCACACGCUGGGUCAGCAGGUGGUGGAGAUCGAUGGGCUGAACACCUACAUCGCAGGCACAAAGACCCUGAGUGGCAGUGUGGCGACCAUGGACACCUGCGUGCGACACUUCCAAGAAGCCACAGGGUGCUCGGCAGAGACCGCGUUGGAGGCGGCAUCUCUGCAUCCUGCUCAGCUCCUGGGGAUUGAACAUAAAAAGGGGACACUGAAUUAUGACUCCGAUGCAGCAGAAGAGACCCAACACAUUUUCAAGGUACUGCGUUCACCUGAGACUGCUCUUUCAGAGAAGCAACAAGUGAGCAAUGUGUUUGGAGAUUGUCAUCUCAAGAUGGAUGAGGGUCAGAAGAGUAUAGAGAAAGGCAUGAACCCUGAUGUUGUACAAGUACAGCCAAGCAAGAGGCAGGCUACAGAUGGUGUGAAACAGUCUGACCCAACCCCUGAGGCAAAGCCAGAGUUGUUCACAUCAUCUGGCAGCAGGUUCCAGUUUGAUUUUACACUUUCUGAGACUGACCCAGAAGCUGACCCUGGUGACAGUGUUGCUGAGCAUGUACAAAACAAUGUCAGAGCCACCAAGCAGGAGAACUGGAAUGGAGCCUUGAUGUUUGCUGCCUCUGGGCAAGAACCCAGGUUUGCUUUCAACUUUGCCAUCACAGAUGAAGACUGUCCUCAUCUUCAGUUACUUCCAGCAAGCCAACAUACAGAGCACGUAGCAGAUCCUUCACUGCCUACUGAAUCAGCAGCUCUGCCACAGGCUACAGCCUUGCAGGAGCCUGAGGUGACUCAAGUGACUGGGAAUGCAUCCAAAGAGGAUAGAAGCCAUGUCACAUCAAAGAUCCCCGAAACAGAGACAGCCCCUGCAGAUGAGGCAGUGACAGAGAAAUCGACAGGAGGUGGAGCUGCCCAGAAGAAGAAAAAGAAGAAACAAAAACCACCUGUCAGUAGAAACAAAACAGAAGAAACUGAGACCAACAGGAAGGCAAUGGCAGAAGCUAACAGCUGUCAAAAUACAAAUACUUCCCAUCAGGACGAGAAGACCUCUCAGUCAGAUGAGCAGCUGCAGAAAGAGGUGGACUGGUGUGUGAACCAGCUGGAACUUGGCUUGAAGACACAGAAACCCACUCCAAAGCAGGCUGAGGAGGCUCUCAGGGCAAUCAGGACACUGCGCAGUGACAAAGCUCCACUGGUGAAGAAGCGUCAGCUCAUGAGAGCCAUGUUUGGAGACUACAGGAAAAAGAUGCAGGAGGAGCUGUGCAGAGAGCUGAAACUUAUGGAAACAGCUGCAAAAUCUGCCAGGAUUGUGGAGUUGAAGGGAAGCAUCUGCAAGAAAAAUGGCCAGUUCAUCCGGAAGUGCUUGGGAGCUUGCAGGAAAAGCCAAGGUUCAGCAGAAUCCCCUUCAGAGUCACAUGGGACACUUAACAGAGGUUUAUUCAAUUGCACAACUCCCCAAGAAUUUCACUUUAAUUUCUUCUAGAAAAGUCACUUUGACUAAAACUGUGCCAGAUCUCCUGUAAACUGAAGAACAGUGGAAAGACACUGUGCAAUAGGAAAUGUAAUGCAUGAAUCUCUGGAUCCUCUUUCAGGGUGCCUUAACUAGAAGUUUAAACCAGACCUGCCUACUAUGCAUAUGACUCUAAAACUCAGCCUACAUUACUGCUCCUCUGUGCUCACACUGGAGAGAGGCACCUUUGAAAGGGUCAGCAGUGUGGAAGGAUCUGCUUUCUUUCCUGUAGAAUUGACAUUAACUGUAGAAUCUGUCUUUUAUAUGAGAUUUUCCCUUUCUCCUGUUGCUUUUAAAUAGAGCAAUGCCUUUCUAGCAGCUGAGGAUGCAUACAGCAGGGGAUGGUUUGGAAUCAAGAUCCAGCAGUGGAUAGCUGGAUGCUUCCACUCUGAGUCUGUGUGAAUGCAGUGUCUGGCAUCCAGCAAACACCAGCAGUGUGUCAUCCCUGACAUGGAGGUGCAUCAGCUCACAGUCUUUGAGGGAAAGUGAGCGAGAACUAUUUUUGUUCAUUCAUCUCUGUCACAGACAGAUGCUGAGACUGUGGACUUAGCAUCCAAUCACUAAUUGCAUCCAAUUACAUCCAGUCAAGAGUAACACAUUAUCUUCAUUUGGGGAGAGAAAUCCUAACUUUUCUUUGAAUUAGAAAGAGGAAGAACUUACCACUUCAGGAAAGAUAUCAACUGAAGCAUUCUAACAGAAGGAAGGUUAAAGAAACUGUGGAAGGUUUGUAAGACACACUGCUUUAGAAAAUCCACCUGUGACAUCCCCAGUGGUUUGAUUCCUGGCACCCAUCCUGUGUGUGCUGGCAGCUGGGGAGUUCUGACCACUGGCAGUGUUUAGUCCAUUUGGCUUCUUCCCUGUGAGUACAUCAAUAUGCACGACCAGCUCCUGAUAUCUCACCUCCAAAAUGGAAGAAAUCUGGGUUGUGUUUCUCUGAUCUUGAUUAUCAUCGUGCAUGUUCUAAUGAAACAAAACCCACAUGUGGAAGAAGCCAGGAAGGAGAGGAAAAGCAAGCUGUCCCUGCUAUCCUCUUCUUUUUCUCCCAGUAAUGUUGGCAAACAACUGGAGUAUACCCAGGAAGAGCUUGCUAGUAUCUGGAGAAGCUAAAUCGUGUCUUCUUUGACAGAAGCCAGAAAAAGGGAUAGCCACCAUGAUCAGAAUUCUGCCAUCACAGAAGUGCUGGUGUUGUGUCAUAAACUAAGGAACACUCAGGAAAGGAGGUAGGACACUCAGCAUCUGUCAGGCUACACAAAGUUCAGGUAGGAGACUUAGAAUGCCUAUCAGACUCAACCAAAGAUAGAGCUCCUGGCUAAGGUGGUGAAUCCUGGCUGAUAGAGUGAAUCCUGAUGAGAUGCAUAGUCCAUGAACUUGGAGGGGGAAGAGGUGGGAGGAAGUCUUGUCAUUUUGAAGGUUGCUUCAGAAGCGACAAGAAAUGAAUGGUGGCAGAUGGCAGAGAGGUGUGGGCCUCCCACAUGCUGGAAAAACAGAUUGCCAGCCAGUCUGCAGGACAUGCUAUGGGUGGCAGAACACCACUGGGACAAGGCAAAUGCCACAGAGCCAGCUUUGAGCCCCACAGGAGUAGGAGGUCUGUGCAAUACUCCAGCUGAAGAGAGUCAGGAGUCAUUUCCAAAGGGUUUGUAUCCUGUCACAGCGAGAACUGGAGUUCAGAAGAAGCAUACCUGGGGUGUUUGUCCUCAGAGACUGUGAGAUACCUACUGGGUCUGACAAGAGUAGCAGACUUUCUGCAGUGCCUUCCUGGUGGAUUUUGUGUGGUUUUCUUGAUGCUCCAAGAGCCUGUACACCUUCAGUCCAUCACCUGAUUCAGUUUGCUUCUUCAGCCCAUCGUAGGCCCUGAAAACUAUCUGGAUGACUAAGACAGUCAUAUGAUUAAAUCUCUGUGGAUCUCAUGCUGCAGUGAUAAACACCUUAAAUGACAUUGCCCAAGCUUCUCUGCCUGAAAGGUAUCAUUUGCUCUCAGGAAAGAUCAUCUGUUUGCCACAUGAGUGUUUCAGAGUGCCUCUGAUCUAUGUAUAGAAUGGAAUAUCCUGAGCUGGAAGGGACCCACAGGCAUCAUCAAGUCCAGCUCCAGCCCUGCACAGACACCCCAACAAUCCCACCCUGAGCGUGCCUGAGAGCGCUGUCCAAGCACCUCUGGAGCUCUGGCAGCCUCAGGGCUCUGCCCAUUCCUGGAGAGCCUGGGCAGUGACAGCACCCUCUGGGAGAAGAACCUUUCCCUGAUAUCCAGUCUAAACCUCCCCUGACACAGCUUCAUCUUGUGCUAUCUCUUGUAAAACCACAGAGGGGAAUGAGGUGCGAAGGAUGAGAUCAGCUAGCCAAGCCCACCGGGUCAAUGCACAGUCAGCUAAAGCAUUUUUGCCCAGGGAUACAUCCUAGUCAGAUUUUUAGUGUAUCCAUCUGGAUACUGGAUGUCCUCUAACAUAUGAAAAAUUGAGAAUUUGUGCAGGAAAAAUAAAACACCGUUUCUUUUGAAGUCUGCUUCUCUUCAGGUCCUCCAUCUCUGUACUGCAUCUAGAUGUUUCCCACUCUCUAACUCUUUAGCACACAUGAACCUCAGAGAAGUAAUCUAGGCAGAUAACUAGAUGUGUACCUGGAAAGUGAAGUUUCAUGUUGUGUCUGAACCCUGACUUUUAAUAAGAUAUAUUCCAAGCAGAAUGAGCUUCUAAUUGUCUCUUUUAACAUGAGGAGACAUUCUUCCCCUCUUUUUCUUGCUUGUGAGAAAACCUAGAGCCUUCCAGCGAAAUGAUCAGAGGCUCAAUAGGUUUGGAGCCCAUCAUCAGCAACAAACAUUUAUUUACAGGUACAGAAUUUCCUUCUCCUCGAAUCUUUCCUACCUCAGCAGCUGGUGACACUGCUAGGAGCUGUGCAAUGGUGUAACUGCUGUAUUUGUAGUCUAGAAGAUUAGGAUUUAUUUUACUUGCAAGAUUUAGCUUCCAGUUGGCUGAACAGUUAAUUGUGUCUUAGUCUUCAAUGAUCCAGAAGCUCUGUAAGGACCCAGCUCGUCCCAGCAGUCUGUAAUGUGAGCCAGCACUCAGUGAUGUGUGUGUGGAUCCACCUCAUGCAUUCAGAGAGAAGGACUGAUACAGACUGGAGAGGAGCACUUGAUUGUUUGUGCUUUGUUAGUCAUCAUGUGGGAGGUUUUUGUGGACUUGCUUUCAGGAGCUGAUAAAAGAAUAUUCAGAGAAAAAGUGAGUCAAUAUUGUCAUCCUAUACACAUUUCCAUUUUUAGGCUUCUUGAAUUGAUUUCCCAUUUCAGAGUGAAUGUAAGAUUCAGAUUAAGAGAGAUAAAAGGAGGGGUAUAAAGUCACACAUUACUAGAAAUAUUAAAAUGGCAAAGGAUGGAUAUUUACAGCCCUCUGUGGACUUUUGCUCUCAAAAGGCUCCAAGAGCUCUGGCCCUGCAUGUUACUUGUUCAAGGACAUUGUGCAAAAAGUUUCAGCCUCCAAGUUAUUCAUAUGCUGACUGUAUUGCAUAUGUUGCCCAUUUGGUAUGACUGUGGGGUUUUGUGAUGAGGUAUUUUUACUUGUGUGGCGUGUGCUCAUAGAGCUGGGUGAGUCAAAGUGAAGGAAGAGAAAAAGAACGUAUCUACUCAAGAAGAUGGUUGGUUCUUUGGAGAAAAGAGUGGAAAGAGUUGAUGUUAUUUUAGGGGAAAUGAUAAACAAGAGUUCAUUGGAA